rnacentral:rRNA from 1 species
ACGAAGGGUGCGAGCGUUAAUCGGAAUUACUGGGCGUAAAGCGCGCGUAGGUGGUUUUGUAAACGAAAUGUGAAAUCCCCGGGCUCAACCUGGGAACUGCAUGUCGAACUGCAAGGCGAGAGUAUAGUAGAGGAGUGUGGAAUUCCCGGUGUAGCGGUGAAAUGCGUAGAUAUCGGGAGGAACAUCAGUGGCGAAGGCGGCACUCUGGACUGAUACUGACACUGAGGCGCGAAAGCGUGGGUAGCGAACAGGA